rnacentral:rRNA from 1 species
AUACGGAGGAUGCGAGCGUUAUCCGGAUUUAUUGGGUUUAAAGGGAGCGCAGACGGGUCGUUAAGUCAGCUGUGAAAGUUUGGGGCUCAACCUUAAAAUUGCAGUUGAUACUGGCGUCCUUGAGUGCGGUUGAGGUGUGCGGAAUUCGUGGUGUAGCGGUGAAAUGCUUAGAUAUCACGAAGAACUCCGAUUGCGAAGGCAGCACACUAAGCCGUAACUGACGUUCAUGCUCGAAAGUGUGGGUAUCAAACAGGAUUAGAUACCCUGGUAGUCCACACGGUAAACGAUGGAUACUCGCUGUUGGCGAUAUACGGUCAGCGGCUUAGCGAAAGCGUUAAGUAUCCCACCUGGGGAGUACGCCGGCAACGGUGAAACUCAAAGGAAUUGACGGGGGCCCGCACAAGCGGAGGAACAUGUGGUUUAAUUCGAUGAUACGCGAGGAACCUUACCCGGGCUUAAAUUGCAAAGGAAUAAUCUGGAAACAGGUUAGUCUUCGGACCUUUGUGAAGGUGCUGCAUGGUUGUCGUCAGCUCGUGCCGUGAGGUGUCGGCUUAAGUGCCAUAACGAGCGCAACCCUCGCCGCCAGUUACUAACAGUUAAUGCUGAGGACUCUGGCGGGACUGCCAUCGUAAGAUGUGAGGAAGGUGGGGAUGACGUCAAAUCAGCACGGCCCUUACGUCCGGGGCUACACACGUGUUACAAUGGGCGGUACAGAAGGCAGCUACCUGGCGACAGGAUGCCAAUCCCUAAAGCCGCUCUCAGUUCGGACUGGAGUCUGCAACCCGACUCCACGAAGCUGGAUUCGCUAGUAAUCGCGCAUCAGCCACGGCGCGGUGAAUACGUUCCCGGGCCUUGUACACACCGCCCGUCAAGCCAUGAAAGCCGGGGGUACCUGAAGUGCGUAACCGCAAGGAGCGCCCUAGGGUAAAACCGGUAAUUGGGGCU